rnacentral:piRNA from 1 species
CCACUGAACACAGUGCUUUUGCCACUAAUU